GUGGGUGUAGCUCAGUGGUAGAGCACCUGCUUAGCAUGCAUGAAGUCCUGGGUUCAAUCCACAGUACCUCUG
rnacentral:tRNA from 1 species